rnacentral:rRNA from 1 species
UGGGGAAUUUUGGACAAUGGGCGAAAGCCUGAUCCAGCAAUGCCGCGUGUGUGAAGAAGGCCUUCGGGUUGUAAAGCACUUUUGUCCGGAAAGAAAUCCUUGGCUCUAAUACAGUCGGGGGAUGACGGUACCGGAAGAAUAAGCACCGGCUAACUACGUGCCAAGCAGCCGCGGUAAUACGUAGGGUGCAAGCGUUAAUCGGAAUUACUGGGCGUAAAGCGUGCGCAGGCGGUUUGCUAAGACCGAUGUGAAAUCCCCGGGCUCAACCUGGGAACUGCAUUGGUGACUGGCAGGCUAGAGUAUGGCAGAGGGGGGUAGAAUUCCACGUGUAGCAGUGAAAUGCGUAGAGAUGUGGAGGAAUACCGAUGGCGAAGGCAGCCCCCUGGGCCAAUACUGACGCUCAUGCACGAAAGCGUGGGAGCAAACAGGAUUAGAUACCCUGGUAGUCCACGCCCUAAACGAUGUCAACUAGUUG